rnacentral:pre_miRNA from 1 species
AGCCUUCUGUAUCCAUGCUGAGAUUUCGUCAUACACCAGACCACAAGGGCUGAUGAGACUUCCAAGAUAAGUGAAACG